rnacentral:misc_RNA from 1 species
GAUGAAGAACGCAGCGAAAUGCGAUAACUAGUGUGAAUUGCAGAUUUCAGUGAAUCAUCGAGUCUUUGAACGCACAUUGCGCCGCCUGGUAGUCCGGGGGGCAUGCCUGUCCGAGCGUCAUUGCUGCCCUCAAGCACGGCUUGUGUGUUGGGCCUCCGCCCCCCGGCUCCCGGGGGGCGGGCCCGAAAGGCAGCGGCGGCACCGCGUCCGGUCCUCGAGCGUAUGGGGCUUCGUCACCCGCUCCGUAGGCCCGGCCGGCGCCCGCCGGCGACCCCCCUCAAUCUUUCCAGGUUGACCUCGGAUCAGGUAGGGAUACCCGCUGAACUUAAGCAUAUCAAUAAGCGGAGGA